GAAACGUUAUUUUGCAGCUGAUCCAGUGGCUGGAGAAAACAAAGGAAAGCAGAUUGGAAAUGAAAUACCUCAAGAUGCGCCAGUGAGCCAAAAAGGAGGUGGUGCAUCAGGAGAACCUACAUCAACAAAUGAAAUACCAACGACCCCAGUUGAAAAAGGAGGAUCUCCUAAAGUUCCGGAGCCUGCUCAGCGUGAGUUUAACGGCUUGUUACUCGUUCUCCGUCGUUGCGUGGUCGUCGACCUGGCAUACAAGCAGCCUUUUCGUUCUGUACCCAAGCGAACACUGAC